CUCUGCCUCUGCGUCAGCCCAUGUCCCAGCACGGCCCACACUGACUUUCUCCAUGUUUUCUAAACCACGAUUUGGAGGCUCACAUGGCGCUGCUGCAAAGCCCAAUGUGAAUGUGGUUAGGAAAGCAAAGUCUCUGUCCAGUCCACCCACCAUGACAGGAGACACCCAGGCCACUGCCAGCUCACCUACGGCCUCUGUGAGGACCACCCCACCAGGCUAUGCUGCUCCU